rnacentral:tRNA from 1 species
GCCUUCGUGGUGUAGUGGUCAGCACGCUCGACGCUCAACCGAAAGGUCCGUGGUUUGAUUCCCGGCGAAGGCA